CGGAAAGCGUGGGGAGCAACAGAUUAAAUUACCCUGGUAGUCCACCCCGUAAACAAUGUGUGCUAAACGUCGGGGGUUUCGCCUUCGGUGUCGCAGCUAACGCAUUAAGCACACCGCUUGGGAGUACGGUCGCAAGAUUAAAACUCAAAGAAUUGACGGGGGCCGCACAACCGGUGGAGCAUGUGGUUUAAUUCGACGCAACGCGCAGAACCUUACCAGCCCUUGACAUGGGAAGUUUGGUUUCCAGAGAUGGAAUCCUUCAGUUCGGCUGGCUUCCACACAGGUGCUGCAUGGCUGUCGUCAGCUCGUGUCGUGAAGAUGUUGGGUUAAGUCCCGCAACGAGCGCAACCCCUGCCCUUAGUUGCCAUCGGUUCGGCCGGGCACUCUAGGGGAACCGCCGGUGACAAGCCGGAGGAAGGCGGGGAUGACGUCAAGUCCUCAUGGCCCUUACGGGCUGGGCUACACACGUGCUACAAUGGCGGUGACAGUGGGUUGCGACCUCGCGAGAGUGAGCUAAUCCCCAAAAACCGUCUCAGUUCGGAUUGUUCUCUGCAACUCGAGAGCAUGAAGUUGGAAUCGCUAGUAAUCGUGGAUCAGCAUGCCACGGUGAAUACGUUCCCGGGCCUUGUACACACCGCCCGUCACACCAUGGGAGUUGGUUUUACCCGAAGCCGGUGCGCUAACCGCAAGGAGGCAGCCGACCACGGUGAGGUCAGCGACUGGGGUGAAGUCGUAACAAGGAAUC
rnacentral:rRNA from 1 species